rnacentral:rRNA from 1 species
UACGGUGACGAUGGCAAGAAGGACCCACCUGUAUCCAUCCCGAACACAGCAGUUAAGCUUCUUAACGCCGAAUGUAGUUGGGGGUUGCCCCCUGUGAGACUAGGACGUUGCCGUGC